GACGAACGCUGGCGGCGUGCUUAACACAUGCAAGUCGAACGAAGUGGCGAACGGGUGAGUAACGCGUAAUCCACCUGCCCUUCAGAGGGGGACAACAGUUGGAAACGACUGCUAAUACCGCAUACUGAAGGUGGGGAUUGCGUCUGUUUAGCUCGUUGGCGGGGUAACGGCCCACCAAGGCGAUGAUCAGUAGGCGGUCUGAGGGGAUGAACUGGCACAAUGGGAAUGAGGAAAGGCCCAGGCUCCUACGGGAGGCAGCAGUGGGGAAUCUUCCGAAAUGGACGGAAGUCUGACGGAGCAACGCCGGGGGAGUGAUGACGGCCUUCGGGGUGUAAAGCUCUGUUAAUCGGGACGCGGUACCGGAAUAGAAAGCCACGGCUAACUACGUGCCAGCAGCCGCGGUAAUUC
rnacentral:rRNA from 1 species